GAUGAACGCUGGCGGCGUGCCUAAUACAUGCAAGUCGAGCGAACAGACGAGGAGCUUGCUCCUCUGACGUUAGCGGCGGACGGGUGAGUAACACGUGGAUAACCUACCUAUAAGACUGGGAUAACUUCGGGAAACCGGAGCUAAUACCGGAUAAUAUAUUGAACCGCAUGGUUCAAUAGUGAAAGACGGUUUUGCUGUCACUUAUAGAUGGAUCCGCGCCGCAUUAGCUAGUUGGUAAGGUAACGGCUUACCAAGGCAACGAUGCGUAGCCGACCUGAGAGGGUGAUCGGCCACACUGGAACUGAGACACGGUCCAGACUCCUACGGGAGGCAGCAGUAGGGAAUCUUCCGCAAAGGGCGAAAGCCUGACGGAGCAACGCCGCGUGAGUGAUGAAGGUCUUCGGAUCGUAAAACUCUGUUAUUAGGGAAGAACAAAUGUGUAAGUAACUAUGCACGUCUUGACGGUUCCUAAUCAGAAAGCCACGGCUAACUACGUG
rnacentral:rRNA from 1 species